rnacentral:rRNA from 1 species
AGAGUGAACGCUGGCGGCAGGCCUAACACAUGCAAGUCGAACGGCAGCGGGCAGUAGCAAUACUGUGCCGGCGAGUGGCGGACGGGUGAGGAAUACAUCGGAAUCUACCUUGUCGUGGGGGAUAACGUAGGGAAACUUACGCUAAUACCGCAUACGAACCAUGGUUGAAAGCGGCGGACCGCAAGGCGUCGCGCGAUUGGAUGAGCCGAUCGUCCGAUUAGCUAGGUUGGACGGGUAAAGGCCCACGAGGCGACGAUCGGUAGCUGGUCUGAGAGGAUGAUCAGCCACACUGGAACUGAGACGACGUCACGACUCCGACGGAGCAGCAGUAGGGAUAUUAGGACAA